GUGGAGCCGUGGGCUGGAGUGGUGGUGGAGCCGGAGGCUGGCCCGGUGUCCGUGGCCGAGGUGCCAUGGUGGGCUGGACUGGUGGUGGAGCCGUGGGCUGGAGUGGUGGUGGAGCCGGAGGCUGGCCCGGUGUCCGUGGCCGAGGUGCCAUGGUGGGCUGGACUGAUGGUGGAGCCGUGGGCUGGAGCGGUGGUGGAGCCAGAGGCUGGCCCGGUAUCCGUGGCUGAGGUGCCAUGGUGG